rnacentral:rRNA from 1 species
UACGUAGGGGGCAAGCGUUGUCCGGAUUUAUUGGGCGUAAAGAGCGUGUAGGCGGCCAGGUAGGUCGGUUGUGAAAACUGGAGGCUCAACCUUCAGACGUCGACCGAAACCAUCUGGCUAGAGUCCGGGAGAGGAGAGUGGAAUUCCUGGUGUAGCGGUGAAAUGCGCAGAUAUCAGGAAGAACACCCGUGGCGAAGGCAGCUCGCUGGGACGUGACUGACGCUGAGACGCGAAAGCGUGGGGAGCGAACAGG